CUCUGAUUCUUAAGGUGGUCUGAACACUUCACGAGGAGGAAGACGUUCAGAUCAUAAAGCUAAAGGGCCGGUGACCGUCACAUUUGUUUUUACACGCACAUUUGAAUAGUCACAUCAUCCGAACAGGUGACUUCACGUGUAACAGUUGUUGUUGGCGUGUUAAGGUGAGUUUCCGGGUUCCACCGUAAGACGCAGACACGUUCCUCAGGGCUUCAGUCUGUAGUCACAAUCGUCUCGAGCGCAGACAGAUAUACAGACAGACAGACACUUUAUUAACAUGAAUUUAUCUGAAGCGAAAUCGGAAAUAAAAAAGCUGCUGAACGAAGUGAAGCCGAGUGACGUCAGCAGAUUGCUGACGUGGAUCCGGAGCUCAGACGAGUUUGACGACUUUCUGUCCAACAACCAGACGAAGAUUCUGCAGAACAUCGCUGAAGAUCUGAGAGGAAGUCUUCCUCUGGACGCCAUGUUGUCCUCUGAGAAUACUGCUUAUAACAAGAUGCAGCAGUGCUCUCGGCCCACGGUCCACGUUGACAGCUUCCUGUAUGAUGAAGACCAGGUGGACUCUCUGUGUGAGGAGGGAACCAUGAGUCGGUCCUACUGUCUCACCUGUGGAUCCCACAGAACUGCCCCUCUGGACUUCAUCUCUCACUCGUUCUCCAUCUCAGAGCUUCGGUUCCUGUUUGAGAACGUUCUUCCAGACCUGAACGGUCGGCUGCUGGUGGACGUGGGCUCCAGACUGGGAGCUGUCCUGUACGGGGGUUACGUGUUCAGUUCUUCCUCUCAGCUGAUUGGUUUAGAGAUCAGUGAGGAGUUUGUUAAACUGCAGAAAAACAUCCUGCAGAAAUACAAGAUGACGGAUCGAAUACAGGUUCUCCACACUGACGUCCUCCUGCAGAAUGUUCUGCUGCAGAAAGCAGACAUUCUCAUCAUGAACAACGUCUUUGAGUUUUUCAUGGAACUCAGUGAACAAGUCAGAGCGUGGAGGCUCAUCAUGGAGAACUUCAGGAAGAAAGGUUCUCUGCUGGUCUCUGUUCCCGGUCUACAGGAGAGUCUAAACAGUCUGCAGGUGAAGAACAGAGAGGAAGGUUAAAGUACAUGAAGUAUACAUUAACUUCAUGUACCUCCCUCCUCCUCCUCCUUCAUGUACACCCUCCUCCUCCAGUCGGUGAUGUCAUGAUAACGUGACAGGAAACGCUGCAGCCCGGCUGGGUGGAGGAGCUUCCUGUGGACCACAGCGUGUACCUGGACCAGGACUCAGACCCAGAGGCUCUGA